UGGGGAAUAUUGGACAAUGGGCGCAAGCCUGAUCCAGCCAUGCCGCGUGAGUGAUGAAGGCCCUAGGGUUGUAAAGCUCUUUCAACGGUGAAGAUAAUGACGGUAACCGUAGAAGAAGCCCCGGCUAACUUCGUGCCAGCAGCCGCGGUAAUACGAAGGGGGCUAGCGUUGUUCGGAAUUACUGGGCGUAAAGCGCACGUAGGCGGAUCGAUCAGUUAGGGGUGAAAUCCCAGGGCUCAACCCGGGAACUGCCUCUAAUACUGUCGAUCUCGAGUUCGAGAGAGGGGAGUGGAAUUCCGAGGGUAGAGGUGAAAUUCGUAGAUAUUCGGAGGAACACCAGUGGCGAAGGCGGCUCACUGGCUCGAUACUGACGCUGAGGUGCGAAAGCGUGGGGAGCAAACA
rnacentral:rRNA from 1 species